ensembl:lncRNA
CCCUGUUACUCAUAUCAGUCCUCAUCACUCACCUGUAUAUCAUCUGUGUUUUAAACUGUUUGUUCAGAUUUCUUCCACUGAUGGACAAUAUAGAGAGGAGAAAGAGAGAGAAGACAUUCCUACUGAAUCUGUGUCUUCAAGCAAUUCUCCAUGCUAGAGGAUCCAUACACACAAUUAUAGAUAAAGUGUUGUCACUGUCUGAAGUAUAUCACUAUCAGAAAUGGGAUUUCCUGCUGGAUCUGUACUCACAUGUGAAGGACUAUGAGACUCAAACAGGCAGGAGUGUACUUCCAGCAUUACAGCCAGUUUACCAGUCAGCUCCUGCAGUCUGGUCCAUAGACCUCUCAGAGAGAAAGGCCUCCCUCCUCCUAGAAAUGCUUAAAAUCCAACCAGAGAAGAAACCAGUAGUCCUGAAGGGCUGGUCAGAUGAAGAGAGUGAAGUGAGGAGUUUCCUUCAGUGUCUGCCCUACAUCUCACAGCUGAGUUUCUAUCCAUGGUGGCCUGAUCCCUCAAAGCAGAUCAAGUUCCUGGUGGAUCUCCUGUGUCAGGCAGCAGAGUGGGAGGAGCAGACAGGAGAGAAGACACUGAAGCUGGUAUCAUCAGUGUGUACUUACAGCACUUUCCCCUUCUGUGAAGAUGUUGUUGAUGAUGGUGAUGUGAUUAAGGAAAAUCAGUGUCAUUUCCUGCUGGAUCUGUACUCACAUGUGAAGGACUAUGAGACUCAAACAGGCAGGAGUGUCCUUCCAGCAUUACAGCCAGUUUACCAGUCAGCUCCUGCAGUCUGGUCCAUCGACCUCUCAGAGAGAAAGGCCUCCCUCCUCCUAGAAGUGCUGAAACUCCAACCAGAGAAGAAACCAGUAGAGCUGAAGGGCUGGUCAGAUGAAGAGAGUGAAGUGAGGGGUUUCCUUAAGUGUCUGCCCUACAUCUCACAGCUGAGAUUUCUUCCACUGAUGGACAAUAUAGAGAGGAGAAAGAGAGAGAAGACAUUCCUACUGAAUCUGUGUCUUCAAGCAGCUCUCCAUGAGAGAGGAACCAUACAAACAACUGUAGAGAAAGUGAUGUCACUGUCUAAAGUAUGUCACAAUCAGAAAUGUGAUUUCCUGCUGGAUCUGAGCUCACAUGUAAAGGACUAUGAGACUCAAACAGGCAGGAGUGUCCUUUCAGCAUUACAGCCAGUUUACCAGUCAGCUCCUGCAGUCUGGUCCAUAGACCUCUCAAAGAGAAAGGCCUCCCUCUUCCUAGAAGUGCUGAAACUCCAACCAGAGAAGAGACCAGUAGAGCUGAAGGGCUGGUCAGAUGAAGAGAGUGAAGUGAGGAGUUUCCUUCAGUGUCUGCCCCACAUCUCACAGCUGAGUUUUUCUCCACCAUAUGAUCAGAGAAGAUCCCUUGAAGAGAGGAGAAAGAGAGAGAAGACAUUCCUACUGAAUCUGUGUCUUCAAGCAGCUCUUCAUGAGAGAGGAACCAUACAAACAACUGUAGAGAAAGUGCCACUGUCUGAAAUAUAUCACAAUCAGAAAUGUGAUUUCCUGCUGGAUCUGUACUCGUAUGUGAAGGACUAUGAGACUCAAACAGGCAGGAGUGUCCUUCCAGCAUUACAGCCAGUUUACCUGUCAGCCAGUCCUGCAGUCUGGUCCAUAGACCUCUCAGAGAGAAAGGCCUCCCUCCUCCUAGAAGUGCUGAAACUCAAACCAGAGAAGGAACCAGUAGAGGUGUGUGGCUGGUCAGGUGAAGAGAGUGAAGUGAGGAGUUUCCUUCAGUGUCUGCCCAACAUCUCACAGCUGAGUUUCUAUCCAUGGUGGCCUGUUCCCUCAAAGCAGAUCAAGUUCCUGGUGGAUCUCCUGUCUCAAGCAGCAGAGAGGGAGGAGCAGACAGGAGAGAAGACACUGAUGCUGGUGUCAUCAGUGUGUACUUACAGCGCUUUCCCCUUCUGUGACUGGCAUGAUGAGAAUAAGGAAGAUCAAUGUGAUUUCCUGCUGGAUCUGUUCUCACAUAUGAAGGAAUAUCAGACUCAAACAGACAGGAACGUCCUUCUAGCAUUACAGCCAGUUUACCAGUCGGCUCCUGCAGUCUGGUACAUAGACCUCUCAGCGAGAAAGGCCUCCCUCUUCCUAGAAGUGCUGAAACUCCAACCAGAGAAGAAACCAGUAGAGCUGAAGGGCUGUUCAGAUGAAGAGAGUGAAGUGAGGAGUUUCCUUCAGUGUCUGUCCUACAUCUCACAGCUGAGUUUCCCUCCAUGGUGGUCUGAUCCCUCAAAGCAGAUCAAGUUCCUGGUGGAUCUCCUGUCUCAAGCAGCAGAGUGGGAGGAGCAGACAGGAGAGAAGACACUGAAGCUGGUAUCAUCAGUGUGUACUUACAGCACCUUUCCUUUUCCCAAUGGAUACAUUUCUAAACAGAGUGAUUUCCUGCUAGAUCUGUACUCACAUGUGAAGGACUAUGAGACUCAAACAGGCAGGAGUUUCCUUCCAGCAUUACAGCCAGUUUAUCAGUCAGCUCCUGCAGUCUGGUCCAUAGGGCUCUCAGAGAGAAAGACCUCCCACCUCCUAGAAGUGCUGAAGCUCCAACCAGAGAAGAAACCAGUAGAGCUGAAGGGCUGGUCAGAUGAAGAGCGUGAAGUGAGGAGUUUCCUUCAGUGUCUGUCCUACAUCUCACAGCUGAGAUUUCCUCCACUGAAGGAUAAUGUAGAGAGGAGAAAGAGAGAGAAGACAUUCCUACUGAAUCUGUGUCUUCAAGCAGCUCUCCAUGAGAGAGGAACCAUACAAACAACUGUAGAUAAAGUGUUGUCACUGUCUGAAGUAUAUCACAAUCAGAAAUGGGAUUUCCUGCUGUAUCUGUACUCACAUGUGAAGGACUAUGAGACUCAAACAGGCAGGAGUGUCCUUCCAGCAUUACAGCCAGUUUACCAGUCAGCCAGUCCUGCAGUCUGGUCCAUAGACCUCUCAAAGAGAAAGGCCUCCCUCGUCCUAGAAGUGCUGAAACUCCAACCAGAGAAGAAACCAGUACAGCUGAUGGGCUGGUCAGAUGAAGAGAGUGAAGUGAGGAGUUUCCUUCAGUGUCUGCCCUAUAUCUCACAGCUGAGUGUUACUCCACCACAGGAACAGAGAAGAUCCCCUGAAGAGAGGAGAAAGAGAGAGAAGACAUUCCUACUGAAUCUGUGUCUUCAAGCAGCUCUCCAUGAGAGAGGAACCAUACAAACAACUGUAGAGAAGGUGUUGUCAUUGUCUGAAGUAUAUCACUAUCAGAAAUGUGAUUUCCUGCUGGAUCUGUACUCAUUUGUGAAGGACUAUGAGAUUCAAACAGGCAGGAGUGUCCUUCCAGCAUUACAGCCAGUUUACCAGUCAGCUCCUGCAGUCUGGUCCAUAGACCUCUCAGAGAGAAAGGCCUCCCUCCUCCUAGAAGUGCUGAAACUCCAACCAGAGAAGAAACCAGUAGAGCUGAAGGGCUGGUCAGAUGAAGAGAGUGAAGUGAGGAGUUUCCUUCAGUGUCUGUCCUACAUCUCACAGCUGAGUUUUACUCCUCCAUGGGAUCAGAGAAGAUGCCCUGAAGAGAGGACACAGAGAGAGAAGACAUUCCUACUGAAUCUGUGUCUUCAAGCAGCUCUCCAUGAGAGAGGAACCAUACAAACAACUGUAGAGAAAGUGUUGUCACUGUCUGAAGUAUAUCACAAUCAGAAAUGUGAUUUCCUGCUGGAUCUGUGCUCACAUGUGAAUGACUACGAGACUCAAACAGGCAGGAGUGUUCUUCCAGCAUUACAGCCAGUUUACCAGUCAGCCAGUCCUGCAGUCUGGUCCAUAGACCUCUCAGAGAGAAAGGCCUCCCUCUUCCGAGAAGUGCUGAAACUCCAACCAGAGAAGAAACCAGUAGAGCUGAAGGGCUGGUCAGAUGAAGAGAGUGAAGUGAGGAGUUUCCUUCAGUGUCUGCCCUACAUCUCACAGCUGAGUUUCUAUCCAGAUUGGUAUGAUCCCUCAAAGCAGAUCAAGUUCCUGGUGGAUCUCCUAUCUCAAGCAGCAGAGUGGGAGGAGCAGACAGGAGAUAAGACACUGAAGCUGGUAUCAUCAGUGUGUACUUACAGCACUUUCCCCUUCUGUGAUGAUGACGAUGAUGAUGAUGAUGAUGAUGAUGAUGAUGAUGAUGAGGAAUAUCAAAGUGAUUUCCUGCUGGAUCUCUACCCACAUGUGAAGGACUAUGAGUGUCAAACAGGCAGGAGUGUCCUUCCAGCAUUGCAGCCAGUUUACCAGUCAGCCAGUCCUGCCGUCUGGUCCAUAGACCUGUCAGAGAGAAAGGCCUCCCUCCUCCUAGAAGUGCUAAAACUCCAACCAGAGAAGAAACCAGUAAAGCUGAAGGGCUGGUAUGAUGAAGAGAGUGAAGUGAGGAGUUUCCUUCAGUGUCUGCCCUACAUCUCACAGCUGAGUUUUACUCCACCACGGGAUCAGAGAAGAUCCCCUGAAGAGAGGAGAAAGAGAGAGAAGACAUUCCUACUGAAUCUGUGUCUUCAAGCAGCUCUCCAUGAGAGAGGAACCAUACAAACAAUUGUAGAGAAAGUGUUGUCACUGUCUAAAGUAUAUCACGAUCAGAAAUUUGAUUUCCUGCUAGAUCUGUACUCACAUGUGAAGGACUAUGAGACUCAAACAGGCAGGAGUGUCCUUCCAGCAUUACAGCCAGUUUACCUGUCAGCUCCUGCAGUCUGGUACAUAGACCUCUCAGAGAGAAAGGCCUCCCUCCUCCUAGAAGUGCUGAAACUCCAACCAGAGAAAAAACCAGUAGAGCUGAAGGGCUGGUCAGAUGAAGAGAGUGAAGUGAGGAGUUUCCUUCAGUGUCUGCCCUACAUCUCACAGCUGAGGUGAGUCUGAACAUGUGUGGUGGUUAGUGAUUAUGUGAUGCUACUGAUUAUUGUCUUUUAGAAACAUUGUAAUAUGAAACAUACAAGUGUUGAUGAAUCUGGUAACAUU